UAUUAACGCGUAUUUCUCGUAGCUACUUCAUAUUCACCCGUUUGAGAUAAAGUGAAAGCAAACUUGUAAAAAUAACUAAUCAAGUUUUAUAGUAAAACACUCAAAUUUGACCCAAACUUUUAGUGAUUAAGAUAGCUAGCUCAUCGUGACAUUGCAUUUGUAAUGACUUAUUUCUCUUUAAGCCUUAUGUGUUUGCUAUAAAACUUGAGAAGCAGUUGUUACACCUAGCAUUAUUUAUAUAUUUAAACUUUUUUAAUGUCACGUCUGCUAUCCGCAUUUAAUAUAUAUAUAUGUGCAAAUACAUAUGUAUUAUAUUAUACAUUGGUUAAUUUGUUUGAAUAUUUCCAAAUUCCAUUUGAUGAUGCCGUGAUGGGUUAAACAUAAGCCUAACUUUUAGCACAAUUAUCUGGUGUUAUAACUUGAGUUAUAGUUAACGUAUAUAAUUCACAAAACCCGACCUACCGAUUGGUGUAUCUUGUGACUAGCAUUAGUAACAACACUCAAAAAAAAAAAGGGAACAUUAAAGGAAAGUUUAAAGUGUCAUGAUCUGAUACAUUGACAGUAUAUUAUAGUGGAAUAAUCCAACUUUGUAAUAAAUGAAAGAGCUUAUGUUUUCACAUCAUUGAAAACUAGUUUAUAGUGGUACUAGUAGUUGAAUGUUUAGGACCUUCAGAUAUUUUAACUGAAUCUCUAAAGUGUCAUGAUUUGGAAAGUAUUCUACAGUAGGAUAAACAAUCUUUUUAAUAGACAAAAGACGCAUGUUUUCAGAUUAAUAAAAACCCGUGUUUCUCCAUUGGUUGUUGAAUGUUUACAAAUUUCCAGUUCCAGUAUCAAAAUCAACUCUACACUAGCUGUUGAUUUAAGCUUAUCAAAACAACUUAAGUUGCCUUUACUGGUGCCUAAGGAAGUGUUUCUAUUAGAAAAUGUUGCUGUUGAUGCAGAAAAAGUAAACCUGAAUCACUUUGGUGUUUUAAAUGAGUCAGUAGUUGACUUGGAUAUGGAACAUAUCACUGGAAGUAUUCAUGCUAAAACUAAUGAAGAGCCAAGCCUUAGCCAGCCGGUCAACAAAGCUGAUACUGGUUGCCAAGGGAAGUUCCUUAAUGGAGAAGGACAUCAGAAUAAACCUCCUAAUAUAUUGGUGUAUACUGGAGAAGAUGGUACCUCAACUUGUGUAAAGUUUAACUCUAUCAAGGAAAAUCUACUUUUGUGUCUUCUUCCUGACCAGUAUGUGAUAUACUUGUUAAAACCACAAGAAUUGACAUCAUCACCAUGGCAAGAUAACGCAGUCCUGCUUGUGAUAUCCAGCAGUAAUGUUCCUCUAGAAAUUUCUGAAACCUUGAAUAGUUUUAUAUCAAAGGGUGGAAAAAUUGUAAAUUUUUGCACAGAACUUAAGCUAUCCAUUCUAGAUAUAAAAAUUGUAGCAACUUCUGAAAAAACGCACUUAAGCUGUAUGAACUACCAGGGAUCAGUAGUCAAACUAAUGAAGAAGUCAUUGAGGCUGGAUAUGUCUGACUGUUCAUUGACUAGUUGUAUGUUAUUGUUUCAAUGUGACAGUGAUCGUAAGUCCAUGAUUUACAAGUUACAGAAUCCAACAACAAAAGGUUUCAUGAUUUUAAGUCAGGUACACCUGGAGCUAGAUGCAUUGUUAUUGUCCUCGGGAGAAGAAGAAUUUAAACAACUGAAACAAUAUAACAAAGAAAGAUUAGAGAUUCUCCAACUUCUUCUCUCCUCAUAUUUAGACAUGUUAUGUGGGCCUGGAUCUCAGAGAAGUCUCACAUCUGGUAUUCUGUUAGCAACUUCACAUGAAAAGCUUCAGGAAUUUCUUCUUUCCAUAAAGAAAUUUCCCCAAGGAAAGAUUCCAUGUAGUGGUUUUACUCUACAUUUUGUGGAUAGCCUACCUGAUUACUGGACUCCUGCAUUGUUGGCUGACAAAAUUCCUGUCUGUUGUAAAAUUAAUGACAAUACAGCUGAAUUGAGCUUUAAUCUUGAAAGAUAUAGAUCAUAUCUACAAACCAAGGUUUUAGGUCAAAUUAUUAUAUAUUUUGAUGUUGUCUCUACAACAAUGACUUUGUUGGAAAGGUUCACAAAUAUUAAUGGGAUAGUGGCUAUAUCAAAAUAUCAAACAAAAGGAAGAGGGAGAGGUGAGAAUGAAUGGCUUGGUCCUGAAGGAUGUGCAAUGUUUACUUUACAUGUCAGCUUCCCUCUAAAGUCACAGCUGGGUCAGAAUAUGUCUUUUAUUCAACACCUUGCCACCCUUGCUAUAGUGCAGGCAGUGUGCGAUUGUCCUGGAUAUGAGGAUAUAAAUCUUAAAAUUAAGUGGCCCAAUGAUAUCUACUAUGGUAGCAAUAUCAAAGUAGGUGGAGUUCUUGUUAACUCUUCUUUGAGUGAAGGAAUAGUCAGCUGUUUUAUUGGUUGUGGAGUCAAUAUUAAAAACAGCAAUCCAACAACAUGUAUCAAUGAUAUAAUUCAGUUUCACAGUCAAGCCAAUGAUUCACAAUUAGAACAACUGACAGUUGAAAAGUUUAUAGCCCAGACUCUGACACGGCUUGAAGAUCUUAUCUCUUGUUUUCAAAUCUAUGGCUCAUCUAGGAUCCUGCCUCUUUAUUACUCAUACUGGCUACAUAGUGGUCAGGAAGUUUGGUUGGAAGAGUCACAAGAGAAAGCAACUAUCCAAGGAUUGGAUGAACAUGGAUUUCUCAGAGUUAAAACUUCAUUGGGAAAUGUUUCUUUUCAGCCAGAUGGAAACAGUUUUGACAUGAUGCAAAACUUGAUCAGACAUAAGAAGUUACCUUAAGACAAACUUCAUAAGGUCUGUUUGGUAGCAGAUUAAUUCAAAGCCACUGCUUUCUGACAUCUCUCCAUCACUGGACAUGACCUCCUUGACUACACCCCCAGAGAGAGGAUAUGUCACAAGAUGAGUGGAGUUAUCUUCAACCUCUAUCAUAUCUAGAGGACAACCCUAGACGACAAAAAUGAAGUCAAUGACGUAAGUUUAACUGUAGGAGAAACAGCAGUGGCAGUAGCUGUAACAUGAAACUCAGAAUCCAUUUCAACAAAGAGUGGAAGUAGAAAAGUCCAAAUAGGGAGCUCCAAAAAUUUACAUAUUAUAAUAAAUGACAUACAAUGCUAACGUGUACUAAAAUUUCUGAAAAGAGGUGUAGCAAAUGUAAAGAAAAACUCAGUUUUCAUUAAAAGAAAUAAGGAAGUGAUUGAAAAUUCCGUAAAAGAAAGUAUGAGUGAAAAACAUGUCUGAACACUGGAAGUGCCAAUUGAGAAGUGAAGUGCCUCACAUGAGGGUAGGUGGGAGUAUCAAGGCUAGUGGCAAGCAAAAAUUUGUGCAUAUAAAGGGCAGUACAAGUUGGGAAAAGCUAUUCUGUUAAAGGAGGUAAGAUGUAUCAAAAUACCAGUGUAUGUAGUUAUUACUAGAUCAGUUACAUAUAAGAUAGCCAUGUCUAGAUACCAAUCCACAUUGAUUUACAACAUACUGCUGGGUCUGUGUAAUUGUCGUUAUUUAUGAAUAAAAUACCACUAGGUUUUA
rnacentral:misc_RNA from 1 species